GACGAACGCUGGCGGCGUGCUUAACACAUGCAAGUCGAACGGAAAGGCCCUGCUUUUGUGGGGUGCUCGAGUGGCGAACGGGUGAGUAACACGUGAGUAACCUGCCCUUGACUUUGGGAUAACUUCAGGAAACUGGGGCUAAUACCGGAUAGGAGCUCCUGCUGCAUGGUGGGGGUUGGAAAGUUUCGGCGGUUGGGGAUGGACUCGCGGCUUAUCAGCUUGUUGGUGGGGUAGUGGCUUACCAAGGCUGUGACGGGUAGCCGGCCUGAGAGGGUGACCGGCCACAUUGGGACUGAGGUACGGCCCAGACUCCUACAGGAGGCAACAGUGGGGAAUAUUGCACAAUGGGAGGAAGCCUGAUGCAGCGACGCCGCGUGCGGGAUGACGGCCUUCUGGUUGUGAACCGCUUUCGCCUGUGACGAAGCGUGAGUGACGGUAAUGGGUGAAGAAGCACCGGCUAACUACGUG
rnacentral:rRNA from 1 species